AGGUAGAGGGGUUUUAGUCGGUAGGUCCCAGGACUUCUUCCUCGGGAAUCCGACACUACCCAGUCGUACGGACGGCUGGGUGUCUUUUGAAGAUUUCCCCUCUUCC
rfam:Agrilus planipennis Contig25037, whole genome shotgun sequence.